rnacentral:lncRNA from 1 species
CUGGAAAGGUUUUUCUACAAUUGUAUCAUUAGUACCACAUGGAACUAAAAUAGUUGUGAGAAAGCUGCUUCUCUCUGCUAGAGGAGGAAACAGAUGUGAGAUUUAAGAGGACAAAGGAAAAAGAGAUUGUUGAACCCAGAGACUGAAUGUACUUGAAAGCAAGGAGACAAUGAAUGCCCAGGAGCUUCAAAAUGGAAAGUCAAAUAGAAGACCCUUCACAUAAAGCUAGAAUCCCGCCAUGUAAGAAGCUUUUUUUUUUCUUUUGUUGGAAUUCUUCAGAGAAACAGAACCAACAGGAUAAGAGCAGAAAGAGAACUAGAGAGGGCGAGAGUUAUCUUAAGGAAUUGGCUCAUGUGAUUGUAGAAGUCUGACAAGUCCAAAAUCUGCAGGGUAGACUGGAAGGCUGGAGACCCAGGUAAGAACAGCAAUGUGAGUUCAAAGGCAGUCUACUGGCAGAAUUUCUUCCUACUUAGAAGAGGUUAGUCUUCAUUAACACCUUCUACUGCUGUGAGGCCCACCCACAUUAUGAAAUGUAAUUUGCUUUAUUAAAACUUCAUUGAUUUAAAUGUUAAUUUCAUCUAAAAAUACCUUCCCAGAAAAAUCUAGAAUAAUGUUUGACAAAAUAUCCAAUUGCUGUGGCCUAGCCAAAUUGACACGCAAAAAGUUAACCAUCAUGUCCCUUCAGGUUUGUGGGAACUAGAAUUAAACAUGCCAACUUAAGGGAGACAAAAAAAAAUUGUCUCCAAUUCUGUCACAGAAUAGAAAAAAGACAAAACAUUUGAGUAUAAGAUAAUUCAUAGGCAGGUUUGUAGUCUGUAUUAGUCCGUUCUCACAUUGCAAUAAAGAACUACCUGAGACUGGGUCAUUUAUAAAGAAAAGAGGUUUAAUUGGCUCUCCUGGUUCUGUAGGAGGUACAGGAAGCAUGGCUGGGGAGGUCUCAGUAAACUUACAUUUAUGGCUGAAGGUGAAGAAAAAGAAGCCACAUCUUACUUGGCCAGAGCAGCAGGAAGAGAGAAUGAAGGGGAAGGUGCUACACACUUUUAAACAACCAGAUCUCAUGAGAACUCACUCACUGUGAUGAGAACAGCAAAGGAGAAAUCUGCUGCCAUGAUCCAAUCACCUCCCACCAGGCCCCUCCACUACAUUGGGGAUCACAAUUCGACAUGAGAUUUGGGUGUGGACACAAAUCCAAAACAUAUCUUAGUCCAACCAAAUUUACCCUAGCUUGGUGUACUGAAAAUAACUCAAAAGUUUAAAGCAACCCCAGGUACCUGAUAGAAACGAAUACAAACCAUCCCCCUACUCUUCAAAGUAAGAAGAGUACCUUCACAUAGGCCUCAAAGUAUAUUACAUAAUAUUCCCCAAAAUAUGAGUUCACCAUCGCAAAUCACACACACACAUGCAUGUACCAAGAAGACAUCAUGAAGAAGAGUGAGCAGAAAAAAAACCCAAAGUAAAAUAAGAGUUUCUGGCCAUCACUGUAAGAGGAGUAACUGAAAUAAAACAGGUACAGUUUGGAAAGAAGAAUCACAGCUUUCAUUAUUUUGGGUUAUAUGAUUGUCUAUAUAAAGUACCCCAAAGAGUCCACAGAUAAAUUUUCAGCACCCAUAGAAGAAUAUAACGAGUUUGCUGGACACGUUAUCACUGCAGAAAAUUAAUUGAAUUCCAACUGAAUUUCCUGUCAACAAAAAGGUAGAAAAUAUAAUCAUAAAAAUGCGUUACUUACAUUACCAUAAAAAUAUACAUAUCUAGGAGUAAAUCUAAAAAGAUGUAUAAGACCUUCAUGAAAAAAUAUAAUACUAUAAUAAAAUAUAUUAAAGUCUAAUAGCAAGAUAUAACAAGUUCAUACAUUCAAAAAUUAAUGCUGAAAGAUUUCAAUUCUUAUCGAUUCAAUGAAAUUACAGUAAAAAUUCUAACAUUCUUAGAGUUACUUUAAUAAGAUAGUAAUUAAGACUGUGGAGUAUAUGUGCAGAGAUUUAAGUUAUAAAUGAAAACAGACUGGAGAGUCUCAAAACAGUGCCCCAAAAUAUACAGAAACUUGACUUAUGAUAGAACUAUACUGUAGAUCAGUGAUGGAAAUAUUUAUAUGAAAUUAAAAAAUAAAUUGAUCUCUAGCUACUUACCCCCAAACGAAUUCAUGAGUGAUUAAAAUCUAAUGUAAAAGGUGAAACCAUAAAACUUUCUCAGCAGGAAUAUAGGAAAAUAAUUUUGCUAUAGGAGACAUAUCUUACAAAAGAUAUAAAUAUAUAAACCAUAAGGAAUACUUAAGAAUCUUCUGCUCUUCAAGACUCCAGAAAGAGAAUGAGAAGUCUACCAACCUAUGGGAAGAAGAUGACUGCAAUGCAAAUAAUUUACAGAGGACUAUUAUCCAGGAUAAACAAAGAACUCACAUAACUCUACAAGAAAAAGAUAAGCAAUAAAGGUAAGCAAAAUAUAUGGAUUGACAUUUAACAGAAGAAGCACCUGAGUGAUCAAUAAACAUGUAAGAUGAUAUUUAAAAUCACUGGUAACCAGGGAACUACAAAUUUAAAAUGCACACCUCCAAGAUUUAUAAAAAUUUAAAACCAUCCAAGUGCUGGCAGAGAUUUGGAACAAGUACAUUUGAACUUUGCUGCUCGGAGUGGAGUGUAAAUUGGAAAACAAUUAGGCAUUGUCAUUUAAAGAUUAUGUUCAUGUCGUUUAACCCAGAAUUUCUAUUUCUAAAUACAUACUGUAGCACAAUGCUUCCCAGGUUUUCAAAUUAUGACACAUGUAAACAAUGAGAGUAUGCAAAUAAUGUAUACUGGUGUAAACUUUAGGGAUUAUGAGAGCACUCAUAAUGAGGCACAGAUUUUAAAAGGCUAUUAGGUUCUCUUUGGAUUAUACAAUUAAUAUUUUUAAAGUAAAUUUUUAAAUAUAUGGAAUUCAAUAUUAAAUUUAUCUGAAAGUUCUAAAUAUGAUUUAAAAUAUUUGAGAAUGUUCAACUUUUUCAUGAUUAUAACUUUAUCAGACUUAUACUUGAAAUUGCCAUAUGCAAUCUUUUAUCAUGACUCCUGCAUAAUGAACACUAUACAUACUCAAAAACCAGCAUCAGCAAUAAUUCACUCAAAUAGGUGGUAAAAAGUUUAAAAUUAAUUUCUCAAAAUCAAUAAACAUGCACAACAGUUCUAACUAUAUUUAGAGUAUAAAACAGAUCUUCCUUUUCUUCCAAGGUAAAGUUGCAAAUAAUUCAAAAAUGUGAACAUAUUUUGAAUUCAAUUGGUCUUUUUCAUGUCAACAAUUUCAAAAUCAUACAGAAGUAUGAAUAUGUAUAAAGCCAAUUGUAGCAAGCCCUUUUUCUUAAUAGAAGUGCACAUUUGUCAUAAUUAAACAGAAUUAUCUGUUAUAUUUGAAGGCAGGAAUUCAGGAAUAACAUCUGGUGGCCCCAAAACCCAAGUCUUGACCAGUCUCACCUCUGCUUUUUUGGCUGUGUUUUUUAGGCUGUGCUUUUUGGCCAUCUGGAACACAAGCUCUCAGCAGUUCCUAGGGCCCCUUAUCCACCAUGGGCAAUGGUUCACUUUGAAGCCAACGUUUAAAAUAGAUGUCCAUGUGACAAGCAUUUUAGCAUCUCAGGACACUUAGUGUGCUCACAACUGAAGGAGAACAUGGAGUACCAUAUCUGACUCCAUUUUGCUCUGGUAAUCCUCUGAGAAGAGUGUAAUGAAGCAGCCAGUGUUUGGAGCAACUUGUCCAGGGAUUCUAGCUAACCCAGGCCUCACUAGAUAAUCUCAGGAUGGAGACCACUAUUUUGUAGCACAAUCUGUAACUUAACAUGGCACAACUCUUGAAAAGCUCUAUUAUAGAAAAACUCUUUCACAUGUCAUCAAGCAUGUGUACCAAAAUGUUCACUGAAGUAGUAAAAGCAAAAAUUAUAGGAAACAAACCAAAUGUCAAACAAAGUAAAAAAUAUGAGACAAUGGAAUAGUUUACUCCAUUGAAAAUGAACAUAUUCUAACCACAUGCAAUAGCAUAAGCCAAGAGUAUAAUGCAGAGCAAAGAAGCAAGUUAAAAAUAUAGACAAAUUAAGCAAUAUAUUAUAGACAUUUACUUGGAUUUUAUAAUACAAUAUACAUAGUACAUGUUAUAAGUAAGAAUAAAUUUUAAAAGAAAAAAACACAAAAAUUUAUGAUCAUGAUUCAUUCGAGAAUGGAAUGGGAAAGAAUCAGAAAGUGACACAAGAGGGACUUCAAAGUUAACCAUAACGUUCUUCUGUCCCCACAAAAUGGAGGGUGGCUACUCAAGUGAUCAUUGUGUUCUUUAUGUCUUACUAUUUAUGUCUUUAUGUCUUACUAUGUCUAUUGUGCUUUGUCUUACUGUAUUUUAUGUUAUUUUAUUCAUAAUCUAAUAAAAACAAACAAUGAUAAGACAUAUCCUGGAUAUUUUUAAAUCUAAGUGGUUCCUAAUAUGAAAGCAAUUAUGUAAGUAAAUGCAGCCAUUACACUUAAAAUCUCUACUAUUUAUUAUAACUGGAA